GAUGAACGCUGGCGGCGUGCCUAAUACAUGCAAGUCGAGCGAACAGACGAGGAGCUUGCUCCUCUGACGUUAGCGGCGGACGGGUGAGUAACACGUGGAUAACCUACCUAUAAGACUGGGAUAACUUCGGGAAACCGGAGCUAAUACCGGAUAAUAUAUUGAACCGCAUGGUUCAAUAGUGAAAUACGGUUUUGCUGUCACUUAUCGAUGGAUCCGCGCCGCAUUAGCUAGUUGGUAAGGUAACGGCUUACCAAGGCAACGAUGCGUAGCCGACCUGAGAGGCGGAUCGGCCACAUGGGAACGGAGACACGGUCCAGACUCCUACGGGAGGCAGCAGUAGGGAAUCUGCCGCAAUGGGCGAAAGCCUGACGGAGCAGCGGCGCGUGAGAGAUGAAGGUCUUCGGAUCGUAAAACUCUGUUAUUAGUGAAGAACAAAUGUGUAAGUAACUAUGCACGUCUUGACGGUACCUAAUCAGAAAGCCACGGCUAACUACGUG
rnacentral:rRNA from 1 species